rnacentral:lncRNA from 1 species
UCUCUUCCUAUGUAUAUGUAUUUCAUAAUGUAUCUUGUAUCAAAGAUACAUGUUGAUUCUCUAGCGCGCCUCUCUUUUCUAUCGCACGCCUCUUCCUUCUCUCGCUCACCUCUAUAUGUACUUGUAUUUCAAAAUGUAUCUGGUAUCAAAGAUACAUAUAUCUAGUAUCUGUGAUACAUGUAUAUGAUCACUUGUAAUCUUAUACAAAAUUACUAAUUAGUGAGACAAUAUAUAAUUAUUUCAAACUACAGAAUGGAUUAAUAUGUAUUGUAGAAAUAUUUAUGUAAUUAGAUAAUUCUUCCUUGAAAAAAAUAGAUCAUCAACACAGAAAAUUAAACUUGGGCUCAUAAACGCUAGGCCUCUUUGUCAUGUUGGACCACUACCUGCAACUUAUAAUUGGGCUUUCCUUAAGCUCAACUAACUAUAAAUAGCCCAAUCUAACCAAUUUUUGGCACUAUAAUUUAAAAAAGAGAAAAUUGUGUAAUACAACAAACUAUUAAUUCAAAAUAAAUGCUAUAGCUACAUUUUAAUUUAAGGAAAAAUCACACCAUAUACACAUUUAAGAGACAAUAUUACGGAUUUUAAACCUACUCUUAAAAAAAUCUUACUAAUAACAGUUUAUUUACGGGUUAUAACAUAUCAAUUAAAUUUAACUUUAUUUAAA